AUGAAACCCAAGAUAUCGGAUUUUGGUAUGGCGAGAAUUUUUGGUGACAACCAGCAAAAUGCAAAUACCCAACGCAUAGUUGGCACAUAUGGCUAUAUGGCUCCUGAGUAUGCAAUGGAAGGCGUCUUCUCUACCAAGUCCGAUGUCUAUAGCUUCGGUGUGUUACUGUUGGAGGUUGUAACUGGUAUAAGGAGAAACUCCAUUAGUCAAAUGAUGGGAUACCCCAGCCUCACAGUCUAUUCAUGGAAUAUGUGGAAGGAAGAGAAGACCAACGAACUGCCAGACGCAUCCAUUAUAGAUACUUCACCAGACGAAGUUUUGCUUUGCGUCCAUGUAGCACUCCUAUGUGUCCAGGAGAACCCAGAUAACAGGCCAUGCAUGUCAUCCGUUGUCUUUGUCCUAGAGAAUGGAAGCACCACACUUACAACUCCCAAUCGCCCUGCCUACUUUACUCGACGAAGUACUGAACUGAAUCAAAUAAGAAAUAUUCAGCCUACAGUCAAUUGUUCUACUUUUACCGAGAUAGAGGGGCGAUGA
rnacentral:rRNA from 1 species